ncrna:unclassified sequences L31-Firmicutes ribosomal protein leader
CUAUAUCAGAAGAAAUUGAUAUGGCGGAAGGAG